rnacentral:rRNA from 1 species
CCUACGGGUGGCAGCAAUUAGGAAUCUUGCGCAAUGGGCGAAAGCCUGACGCAGCGACGCCGCGUGACUGAUGAAGUCUUUCGGGAUGUAAAGGUCUUUUGCAGGGGACGAAGGAAGUGACGGUACCCUGCGAAUAAGCUCCGGCUAACUACGUGCCAGCAGCCGCGGUAAUACGUAGGGAGCGAGCGUUGUACGAAUUUACUGGGCGUAAAGCGGGCGUAGGCGGGCUAUUAAGUUGGGGGGGAAAUGCCGAGGCUUAACCUCGGAACUGCCUCCAAAACUGGUAGCCUUGAGGGAUGGAGAGGGAAGUGGAAUUCCAGGUGUAGCGGGGAAAUGCGUAGAUAUCUGGAGGAACACCCGUGGCGAAGGCGGCUUCCUGGCCAUAUCCUGACGCUGAGGUGCGAAAGCUAGGGGAGCGAACG